CAGCUCCACGUGCUUGAACUCGAAGGGGAUGUUGUUGCUCCGCGCGAAGAUGUAGAUGGAGCGGCAGGGCUGCGAGAGCAGGUCCAGGUACAUCUGUUCCACCAUACCCUCAGGAAACCUUUGCUCUUGUCUGGAAAACUCUGAACAGAGAUGGAGAAGGCAGCUCUGACUGGCCCCCGUUUCCACACAGACUGAAUCACCUCAGUCCUCAAGCAGAUCCAGUGGUGCUGGAACAUGAAAGAAAAGCCUUCAGGGCUACAGCUCCCAUGCUGCAGUGCACAAGAGGAGAAAGCAGCUCACAGCAGUUUAAAAUGUAUUUUUCUUUCCUUCUAAGUUGCAGAAAGGCUGUGAGUAAAGGCAAGUGCAUUUUGUGGAAUAGUGUUUCUGUGUGAUUUUUAGAAGAAAUGCUGAAAGACUGCAAUAAGCCUUCAUAAAAUAAUCUAUUUUAUUAGAGCAUAAUCCUCUAAUUCUGGCUGACCUGCUUUAGGAGCUGCUGCUUGAAACUCUCCAGCAGUUCAGGUGCAAACUGAUCAGCGGUUAAGUUCUUAAUGUUCAUGAUCCCUUCAUGGGCUUCCUGGAAGAGCUCCUUCCCCACAGCUUCUUCCACCCGCCUGCGCCACUCCGCCAACUUUGGCCUCUCCUCAAAGAGGUUGUAGCCAGCACCUACAGGCUGCAGGGAGAGAGAGCACCUGGGAGUGAGUCAAACAAGGCAUUUACCAGGGAUGGAACCAAAGGAAGGACCAAUAGGCUUUUGGCUCCAGGCAGCAGUCAGUCAUCACAUUGGGUGGAGCUCAUCUCUGGUUCUUAGCUCAUAGGAAGCAAGUGGUGACAUCCUCAGCAGCUGCUGUCCCCAGAGACAUGCAGCAAACAGCUCUGCCAUGGCUAACCCCAGAACUGUCUAAUACAGAACAUGGAGGUUCAUGCACACCAGCACAUCUCUUCCAAAUAUCUUUACUUUCUCUGCCUAGUUUGUAAUUUAUCUUCUUUGACCAUAUUUGACCAUAUUUCUAUAGAAAGAACUGUGUCAUCAGAGUAGGUGUUCCCUGGCAAACUUAAUUAGGGUCAAAGUCAAAAAGGAACAAGACUUAACCCCAUGGAAGGGUUAACUGCAGGGAGCUCUGCUGUUACCAAGGUGGUGGUGCAGCAGCCACCCCUUGGCCUGGCCUGCCCACAGCCCAACCCACAUACCCAGCAGCAGGUUGAUGCUCACCUGCAUGAGCUCCACCAGUGCUACGAGGUCUGCCAGGGAGAUCUCGCUGCCUGCGAUGAAGGGCUUGUCCUGCAAGAACUUCUCUUCAAACUGCUUUAGGACAACAUUGAGGUCCUCAAUAAGAAAUUCCAGUUUCUCUGCAGAAAGUGGCUGGCCUGUGAGGAUAGGCAGCAGCACCUGGCAGGGAGAAGAAACAAGUUGCUCUUUAAGUGAUUCCUUACAAACCUGGUCAUCACCCUCUCUUUGCCCCCCUCUGAGGAUCCCUCACCAGCCAGGCAAGAGAACAACUGGAACUGCUCAUCUCCCUUGCCAGGUCAACAUUAAUGUCAGUCACUACUUCCUGCCUCUCCUUGUCUCCUCCCUAGAAAUCUGAAAUUUCAACCACAAGAAUCUCCUCUCAAGGGAAGACUGCAUCAUCUGCCAGCAACUGUGUUUUGUUUUCCAGUAGGAGGUUGGUUCUUUCCAUGAAGCCGAGCAGCAGGCGCUGAGCUGUGUCUGGUGAGAGCUGCUCACCCAGGAUGAGUUUGCUCUGGGUCUCACAGAGCAGUGGCUGCACCAUGAGGGAUUCAGGCCACUUCAGUUAGGCUCAGCUGAGCAGCCAAGUCAAUUCCAGAUCUAGUUUUGUUCCAAUUUGUCACCUGACUUGUACAUUUGCUCGGGAAGGCCCUGCACACAGGUGGGCCGUUGCACUCACAGCUCUUAGCACUUAACUUUUGGUAUAUGAUGGUCUCACCUUCGAUAGGAACACCUUGCUCCCCUUCGCACGGAUGUUGGCGUGCUGCCAUGACAGGUACUCAUCAACCCUCGCCCUUUUCUGCAGGUCAGAUGGGUACCAGUGAUCAGGAGUCUUGAAUUUCUGGGCGAGGUACAGGAGGAUUGCAAUGCUGCCCAAAGAGCGAGACAGACCAGUGAGCUGAUCACCUGAGAGUAAAGCACCUCAUCCUUUCUUCUCCCCCCAAACUGUGCACUGCUGGACAAGCAGCAACACAAGCCUGAUCCGAGUCAGGUAGAAGUGCAGGACAUGGAACUGCCAGCAAGGCACAGCACAGGAGAGAGUUUGUGCUGGCUCAACCAGCUGCUUGUGGGCAGCAAUUAUCUGAUACAUCCGCCCAGCGAGACAGACGUGGCCUGCUGGCACAGUUACCCCAUUGAGCAAAUAGGAGCUGCAGAAUGAGUUUAUACCAAAGCUGACCUUCACAGUGCCUGGCCAUUCAGCAGCAGGUGCCUUAUGUCGGAUUUCCUGCACUGACCUACAGCCUCCAGCUGCUGGCAGAGAGCAGGAGGACACGUGGACAGGUAUUUAAGCUCGGAAACACUGCCUACAUGCAAGGUAGUCCGAGCAGCAGCCCACUGAUCUCUGCACUAUCAAUGCUGUUUGAGUUGUUUACAUUAGAAGGAUUCUCUUGAAACGUAGGUUUGUUGUGUACAAGUGGAACCAACAGGAAGGAAGAAAAAAACUGCCUGGGCUGGAGUCCCAGCAGUGCCCUGGCAGAAUCCAAGCUUUGGGAUAAACAAUACUGCAGGUAGGGGUUGAGCUUAUUUGAGCCUCACCUCUCUGCUAAGGUGAAAGAACCAUCCCUUAGUGCAGGCACCUUCAUCAGGACAUUCACCUUCCGGAACUCCUCCGUCUUGUGCUGCCCUGAGGAGGGAAAUGAGAAGUUUUACUUGGCAGGGAUAGUCAGGACUUGUCUGCAACGCUUGUGGGGACCAUUUGGCCUCAAGUUCCUGGUUUUGAUUGUACAAAUACAGUCUUGUAUCAAGCUUAUAACCAAUCAAUAAGUGCUGCAGGGUGAAUAGGGGGGUUGCCCUAUGGUAUCACCUUAUUGCUUAUUGUCUGCAUACCAGACCCACCUCUUGACCACAGGCAGAAUGGCUAGGAGUCCUUUCAUACCAACAGUGCUUGUCUACUCAGGGCUCUAUCAGCUCCAAGUUUGUGCCUGGAGGUACCUGUCCUGUACAAACCCAGAGUGAGCACUGAGUGCCUUAGAGGAAAGGGAUCUCACUAUCAGAAACAUCACCAACAUGGACAGUGAGAAAGCAGUUUAUUUUUUUUUUCCUGGAUGAUAAUGUAAUUUAUAUUCAACUCUCUUUUUAGUCCUCGGAUGAAAAUAAAUUUCUGUGAUUCCAUAUAAAGAUGGUACUUCAUUACAGUCAGCUCCUGUGCACUUUGUCAUAUCUUUUGUCAGAGAAAAUAUGGAUUUGUUGCUUUUAAGCUAUCUUGUACGUCCCCCCUGAAAGGCAGGCAGAGUGAAUCUGACAGGAGAAGGUGCUUUGUUCAUUUGAGGUCUCAACAUGCUCUGUUGUGUCUGGACCCAGUCCCAGAAGCCUUGUUUUAUGUGACUUGUUUGUGCUGGCCUUUUCCAACCACUGGCUUCAGUCACACAUGUGUACCUGUGUAUUCAAGCCUCUCUAAUGUGUAACUAGCCUUGUGCCAUCUCCUGCUAUGUGAGUCACCUGAGAAUCUGUGUGCCAGAGGAGAUGUUCUGGAAGUGAUUUUAGCUUUCCCAGUACCUGGCAAACCAGCUUUGUGACUACUCCCCCUGUCACUUGGCUCACAGCCCAUCUCCCCCACCCCCUUUCAAAAAGAUGAAGUGUGAAGAUUCCAGGUCCUCUCAGGUGUCCUUUGAAUGUCAUGUGAUUUCUAUCCAUUCUCACUCUUUCCACCCCUUUCCCUGAGACCUGCCCUACUGGGGGCCCUGGAGCUUUUCUGAAGGGACACAUUCAGUGCACCAGCUCAGUUCUGAGUAUCGAUUCCCUCUCCUGGUCCUCACAUGCUGUGCAGUGAUGGGUACUAGUGCAACAAGGCCUCCCACACUGUGUCCCAGGGCGACCUAACCCAGCUGCAGGUACCUGGAGCCCUUCCCUGUGGUAUGGGAGGUGCACGCACUGGAGGAAUGGGAUGGGAUGCACUUUUAGCAUUCCCAUAGGCCAAAUAACCCAUCUUAAAUGCACUGGCCAAAAGCAGGCACUGAUGCCACGGGGCACAGAGCACUGGGAAACUGUGACUUAAUUAAUUUUCCUUCCUCUCAGUUCCCUGAUACCUUGUCAAUUCCAGUUGUUCCAUUCUCCUUGAUGCUCUCAUUGCUUGCCUGCCAUCUCCCAACAGUUUAUUUAUUGGGAAAGAAGGGUAAGGACACAAGAUGAGCCUGCCCCCAGUUACAAACAAUUGCAAAAAUUUUUGCUAUGAAAUAGGUGGGAGGAAAAGCCACAGCAAGGUACAACCAACGCACAGCUAAGGUGUGCAGGGGAACACCCAGAGACUAAACCACAUCACCCCUGAGAUCUGAGUCACAACUUGGAGCCUCUUUUGUUCCCUUAUCAAUUUCAGCCCCAGAAGCCUUCUCACUGUUUUUAAGCAUUACUUACUGAGGCAUUGUUAUGCCCAAUACAUUACCUUAAUUUCAAAUCCAGCAGAGCUCUGGAAAGGUUGAAAGACAGCUUUUACCAGCUUCAGUUACAAAGAAAGAAGAUGCAGAUCUUUGGGCAUCCUUUGGUGAAAACACACAAUACCCCUUGGACAGGCUCCUAUCAGUUAUCAGUUGGUUUUAGCCCAAAUAAAACCACUUUCCUUUCUUCAUUUAUCAGUGUUCAGAUCACUGGCAGCUGCAUUGUCUCGCUCCACAGCCUUCACAAGUCUGCCCUCAACCCUCUCAAAAUAACCUGGCUACAAACUGCCUGACCCAAUGGAACCCCCAGAGGGACAGCCAACUGCCCUGCCCUGCCUGCACAUGGGGACACAUGGGCAGUGAGGACCCUCAUACAUGAGGACCCUCCCACGGGGCUGUUAACCCCUGCCAAGAGGAAAAGAGCUGCUCUGCAGCAACUGCUGCUGCUUACUGGAGCACAAAGCUUUUUAAAGAAGUUUAAUUAGGGAACAAGAACUGCACACCUCGGCUGUCCUCGCCCAUACAUGUAUGUCCCACCUCUGAAUUUCUGUUUUCCAUUAACGGGGGAAUGCCCUCAGACCUGGCACAUCCUGAGCGCUUCUCAGAAAAGCCUCUUUUAUCAGACUCACUUUCUGCUGGGGUGGAGCCGAUUUCAAAGAUACCACACGCCUUUGCAGAGUCCUCUUUGUUGCAGAGGAACAGAGGUACUGAGAUGACU